AGAGUUUGAUCCUGGCUCAGAUUGAACGCUGGCGGCAAGCUUAACACAUGCAAGUCGAGCGGAAACGAUACCAGCUUGCUGGUAGGCGUCGAGCGGCGGACGGGUGAGUAAUACUUAGGAAUCUACCUAGUAGUGGGGGAUAGCUCGGGGAAACUCGAAUUGAUACCGCAUACGACCUACGGGAGAAAGGGGGCAGUUUACUGCUCUCGCUAUUAGAUGAGCCUAAGUCGGAUUAGCUAGAUGGUGGGGUAAAGGCCUACCAUGGCGACGAUCUGUAGCUGGUCUGAGAGGAUGAUCAGCCACACCGGGACUGAGACACGGCCCGGACUCCUACGGGAGGCAGCAGUGGGGAAUAUUGGACAAUGGGGGAAACCCUGAUCCAGCCAUGCCGCGUGUGUGAAGAAGGCCUUUUGGUUGUAAAGCACUUUAAGCAGUGAAGAAGACUCCUCGGUUAAUACCCGUGGACGAUGACAUUAGCUGCAGAAUAAGCACCGGCUAACUCUGUGCCAGCAGCCGCGGUAAUACAGAGGGUGCAAGCGUUAAUCGGAAUUACUGGGCGUAAAGCGAGCGUAGGUGGCUUGAUAAGUCAGAUGUGAAAUCCCCGGGCUUAACCUGGGAACUGCAUCUGAAACUGUUAGGCUAGAGUAGGUGAGAGGAAGGUAGAAUUCCAGGUGUAGCGGUGAAAUGCGUAGAGAUCUGGAGGAAUACCGAUGGCGAAGGCAGCCUUCUGGCAUCAUACUGACACUGAGGCUCGAAAGCGUGGGUAGCAAACAGGAUUAGAUACCCUGGUAGUCCACGCCGUAAACGAUGUCUACUAGCCGUUGGGUCCCUUGAGGACUUAGUGACGCAGCUAACGCAAUAAGUAGACCGCCUGGGGAGUACGGCCGCAAGGUUAAAACUCAAAUGAAUUGACGGGGGCCCGCACAGGCGGUGGAGCAUGUGGUUUAACUCGAUGCAACGCGAAGAACCUUACCUGGUCUUGACAUAUCUAGAAUCCUGCAGAGAUGCGGGAGUGCCUUCGGGAAUUAGAAUACAGGUGCUGCAUGGCUGUCGUCAGCUCGUGUCGUGAGAUGUUGGGUUAAGUCCCGCAACGAGCGCAACCCUUGUCCUUAGUUACCAGCGGGUUAAGCCGGGAACUCUAAGGAUACUGCCAGUGACAAACUGGAGGAAGGCGGGGACGACGUCAAGUCAUCAUGGCCCUUACGACCAGGGCUACACACGUGCUACAAUGGUAGGUACAGAGGGCAGCUACACAGCGAUGUGAUGCGAAUCUCAAAAAGCCUAUCGUAGUCCAGAUUGGAGUCUGCAACUCGACUCCAUGAAGUAGGAAUCGCUAGUAAUCGCGGAUCAGAAUGCCGCGGUGAAUACGUUCCCGGGCCUUGUACACACCGCCCGUCA
rnacentral:rRNA from 1 species